rnacentral:rRNA from 1 species
UACGAAGGGGGCUAGCGUUGUUCGGAAUUACUGGGCGUAAAGCGCACGUAGGCGGAUACUUAAGUUAGGGGUGAAAUCCCAGAGCUCAACUCUGGAACUGCCUUUAAUACUGGGUAUCUCGAGUCCGGAAGAGGUGAGUGGAAUUCCGAGUGUAGAGGUGAAAUUCGUAGAUAUUCGCAAGAACACCAGUGGCGAAGGCGGCUCACUGGCCCGAUACUGACGCUGAGGCACGAAAGCGUGGGGAGCAAACAGGG